AAUAGGAUAAUUCUCCUAGAUUAAUACUUUCUUCCUUAUUAAUGGGAUUAGAUGUUGAGUUCUGAGAUUAAAUCAAAGCCAGUUUCUGGAAUUUGAUUAUUUUCUGGGGAAUAGUUUUAGCUGAUUUACAGAGGUUAGGCCACUUUUUAUUUUUUGAAUAGUUAUCUUGAAAGAAAUACUGUGGUUUGGCCCAAUUUUGGUUACUUCCAUUUUUUUUUAUGCUUUUAGGAUUUAAAAAAAAAAUCUCUAGAGUCAAGCUUUAUGCCUGCAUGUUUGUCCUCAAGAAAAAAUAAAAAAAAAAAGAGGAGCAAAUCUUCAAGCAUUUAUGAAAAACUAUCAUGUUCAAGGAUGGUUAAAAACAGUUCUAAAGGCCUAGGACACGAAAGAAGUCUUACGCAAAGCAUUUUAAGCCUCUCAGUUAUUUUUAAAGACGUUGAAAAAUAUGACGAGGUAAGCACAAUUUGUUUUUUUACUGGAAAACAGCAGAAGUUAUAAUAUGCUUAAGGCAUCACUCUACAUAUAGGAAAUCGUACUAUCCUGGAAGGCAAAUUGGGUCAUGGAUGUCCAGGAACUUGAAAAUCUUGUUUCGAACAGUUAGAGGAGAGAAUGUACAGCAGACAGAAGGAAAAGGUGUCUAAAGCCAUCACAGCAAAUUUCAAUAUCAAUAUAAGCUUUUUUUAAUGUGCUUCUUGUUGAGCUACAAGUGUUCUUAAUACAGUAUUUUGUACAAAUGCAUCAGAUAUAUAUCUUUGCAUGUACACAGUCAUCUAAUUAUGAUAUAGAGUCAUAAAAUUCACAUACACACACACACACACACACAAA